CGCCCUACGGGGGGCAGCAGUCGAGAAUCAUUCACAAUGGGGGGAACCCUGAUGCAGCGACGCCGCGUGGGUGAAGGAGCGUUUCGGCGCGUAAAGCCCUAUCGGCAGGGAAGAAGGAGGACGGUACCUGACUAAGAAGCCCCGGCUAACUACGUGCCAGCAGCCGCGGUAAUACGUAGGGGGCAAGCGUUAUCCGGAUUUACUGGGUGUAAAGGGGGCGCAGACGGCAGCGCAAGCCAGGAGUGAAAGCCCGGGGCCCAACCCCGGGACUGCUCUUGGAACUGCGCGGCUGGAGUGCAGGAGGG
rnacentral:rRNA from 1 species